rnacentral:lncRNA from 14 species
UGUUUGUCCCUUGCAGGAAUUAGUUGAUAUUGUCUUCGUUGUCUUCCACUAAAUGGAGGUGUUAUUGAUAACAACCAAGAAAGCAGACUAAGGAUAAAAUUUCUUCCAUCCUUCCAGAGUUACUGUUAAAAGAAGAAGCAGCAAAACUGAAUUCAAGUCAAUGUGAACCUGAGCCUUACACACCAAAUCAAGUGUUUAUAUACUACAUUUUUUUGCUGUUCCAAGAGAAAGGAAAAGUGUCCUUUUCUUACAAUAUGUUUUGCAACUCACACAGAAGGUAGCUCUGGAAGCAAGUUACUGUGUGAAAGUAAUGAAGUUAU